UAUUAUUAUUAAUUUUAUUAAAUAAUUAAUAUAAUUAAUUAAAAAAUUAAAUAAAUUGGCAGUAUUUUUAAAAAUUAGAGGAUUUUGUUUAUUAAUAGAUAAUACACUAUAAAAUAAACUUAAAUUAAUUAAAUUAUAUAUUGUUGUCAUAAAAUAAUAUUUUUAAAUUAUUAUUAAAAUAUUUUAUAAAAUUAAAUGUCAAAUCAAAAUAUAUUUAAUAUUUAAGAAUAAAAUGAAAUACAAUUAAUUUAUUAAAUUAGAUUUAAUAUUGUAAAAUAUUAAUAAAAUUGGAUUUAAAAAUAAAUUAUUAUAAAUAUAAUUAUUGAAUGAUUUUAAAAAUAGGUACAUAUUGCCCGUCGCUUUUAAUUUAAAUUAAAAUAA
rnacentral:rRNA from 1 species